rnacentral:lncRNA from 1 species
GCCUGUCCGGAGCGCGGCCACCUGCGAGCAGAUGGAGCUGGACCACAUGACGAGCGGCGGCCUCCACGCCUACCCUGGGCCGCGGGGCGGGCCGGCGGCCAAGCCCAACGUGAUCCUGCAGAUCGGUAAGUGCCGCGCCGAGAUGCUGGAGCACGUGCGGAGGACCCAUCGGCACCUGCUGACCGAGGUGUCCAAGCAGGUAGAGCGCGAGCUGAAGGGGCUGCACAGGUCGGUGGGCAAGCUGGAGAACAACUUGGACGGCUACGUGCCCACGAGCGACUCGCAGCGCUGGAAGAAGUCCAUCAAGGCCUGCCUGUGCCGCUGCCAGGAGACCAUCGCCAACCUGGAGCGCUGGGUCAAGCGCGAGAUGCAUGUGUGGCGCGAGGUCUUCUACAGACUGGAGAAGUGGGCCGACCGCCUGGAGUCCAUGGGCGGCAAGUACCCGGUGGGCAACGAUCCAGCCCGCCACACGGUCUCCGUGGGCGUGGGGGGUCCUGAGAGCUACUGCCACGAGACUGAUGGCUACGACUACACGGUCAGCCCCUAUGCUAUCACUCCGCCACCCGCUGCUGGUGAGCUGCCGGGUCAAGAACCAGCUGAAGCCCAGCAGUACCAGCCCUGGGGGCCUGGAGAGGACGGGCAGCCAAGCCCCGGUGUGGACACUCAGAUCUUCGAGGACCCACGGGAGUUCCUGAGCCACCUGGAAGAAUACCUGCGGCAGGUGGGUGGCUCUGAGGAGUACUGGCUGUCCCAGAUUCAGAACCACAUGAAUGGGCCAGCCAAGAAGUGGUGGGAGUUCAAGCAGGGCUCUGUGAAGAACUGGGUGGAAUUCAAGAAGGAGUUCCUGCAGUACAGCGAGGGCACCCUGUCCCGAGAGGCCAUCCAGCGGGAGCUGGACCUGCCACAGAAGCAGGGUGAGCCACUGGAUCAGUUCCUGUGGCGCAAGCGGGAUCUGUACCAGACCCUGUACGUGGACGCUGAGGAGGAGGAGAUCAUCCAGUAUGUGGUGGGCACCCUGCAGCCCAAGCUUAAGCGCUUUCUGCGCCACCCACUGCCCAAGACCCUGGAGCAGCUCAUCCAGAGGGGCAUGGAGGUGCAGGACGGCCUGGAGCAGGGGGUUGAGCCAGCCGGCCCCCAGGUGCCCACUGAGGACGAAGCAGAGGCCCUCACUCCCGCCCUCACCAGCGAGUCUGUGGCCAGCGACCGGACCCAGCCUGAAUAGAGGGCAGCCCAGGGCCCCCAGCCUGCCCACCACAGCCAUGCUGUGGCUUUUGCUAACCAGGACUUGAUCUGGCACUGAUACCCACUGGGUCAUUCCUCAUCCAACAGGCACCCUCAGCCUCCAGGCCCUAAUCACAGACAUGCCACCCAGAUGUGUGCAAAGCCCUGAGCAGCGAGGAGCCCCUCCCCUGCAGGGCUCCUGCGUCACCCCACCUCUGUCUCCCUGGCCUCCUGCCUGGGCCUGGGGGCAGCCCUACCCUCUGCACUCAGGCCACUGCAGAACAUCUCCAGCUUCCUCAUUCUGCUCCAGUGCUUCUGGGCACACAGGAAACCAAGUGUCCAGAAGGCAGAGACCGCUCAACAGGGCACCCGGGCAGAAGGCAAGGCAGAACCAGUGCUGAACCUCAACUUCUGGCACACCACCCACUCCUGGCAGACACUGCAGAGCCAGCUGGCACUCCCGUCGCCCCCCGGGGCAGACGGCCAGCCUUGGGCAGCACAACUCCCUUCUCAGGGAGCACCUAAGUUGCACAUGCAGCAGCAGCAGCAGCAGCAGACCUGACAUCCUGGCGCCUCCUGGCCCCUAGGUGAGUCCCCACCUCUGUGGCAUCUUAGAGCUGGGAGGGUCAGGGCCCAGUUCAUUCUCCAAAUGAGCCCAUUGAGGCUCCGAGGCAGCAAAGAUGGGGUCGGGAUGGCAUCGUGGGGGUGCAGAGAGACCCCCAGGAUCAGGAGUGGGCUGGGGUGGGAGGCAGUGCUGAGGAGCUGGCUCAGCCCGCUCACCGGGACCCUGUGCUUCUCAUCUCAGAUAGUGAUUCAUGCCAGACGCGCAGGGUCUGAGCUCUGCUCAGUGACUCAGCUGUGGCGGGCACACAGUCCCAGAGGGGCCAAGUCCUCAAAUCCGGCUGAGGCAGCAGCCAGCACUCGGAGCCAGGAGAAUCACAACAGGUAACAGAGCCCCAUUCUUCCUGCCUCAGACUGCCCCUCUGCCAUCCUGCCCAGGCAUGCGCUCACCCAUCCCCUGUGAAAGCUGAGAGUCUGUGCCUGGACCCUGGGGGCUCCAGCCCAAGAACCUGCCCCCGGUCCUGCCUGUGAGCCCACUGCUCUGUUGCUGAUGGCUGUGCUUUCUCUCCUUCAGGUCUCUGACUGCCUUGGAGUCUUUGCUGCUGAGCCUGGCACUGUCUUCCCCUCUCUCAAGGCUGCCAGCCCCAGGGCAGCUGAGAGAGGGCAGCUGCAGAGAGGAGGCGUUCUGGCGCUGGGUAGCACCCCAGCUCGGCCUGAGAGCUGGUGGUGAGGAUGGACCGGCGUGAGGGCCAGGGCCUGCCGCUAUGCCCGCCCCGCUGGCUGCCAGCUCCCUGCCCCUAGAGCCACUGCAGCCAAAGCCAGGGUCCACUACCCUGGCCCUUCCAGCAGGGAGUCCCUGCGUGCUGUGUGGCUAUGGCCUCCUGCCAGAUCCUUUUAGGAGCCCCGAGGCCAGGGCCCCAGCCCCUCCAGCAGCCCCCAGGCCAGCCCCAGGAGAUCCUGAGGCCUUUGCUCCUGGGCUGUCCCAGGCUCUCUGUUCUGCCCUGGCCCUGCUUUUGCUCAGGCUAGACCCUGGGCCACUCAUGUCUGCAGCUGGAGCAGCCCGGACUGAAGUUUUGGAGGUUCCUCUUUCUGCCUUGCCUAUUGGGGUUCCGGAUUCUGGGGACCAACUCUGCACAUGAUCUGAUGAAUCCUCCACCCUGUGCCCCUGCCCAUCCCCACAGAUUUUAUUUUUGCACAUAAGCCAUAACUCAUACUCAUUGGCCAGCACAGGCUGCAGGGAGGUCCUGGGGCCUGGGGAGACCUCAGAGGGUGUGCCUCCCCCCUACACAAACUACGCCUUGAAAGUCCUGCCAGGCCUGAAU